CUGGGAACUAAAAAAGACUUGGAUAAAAUGAAAACACAAAUCCUGACCAUUCAAUCUUAAAUACUAAACAUUUUAAAGAACAUUAACAUUUUAGUUUAAAGUCUUUAUUAACAAUAUCCUGAUGAAAUAUGAGGAUGCAAGUCUCAUGUUCAUUUGAAAAUAAAUGUGUUCACUUAUACUAGAGUGACCAGUAUUCCAAUUAAUCCAAAUCGCAGUAACAUUAAUUAAUUUUGUACCUUUAUUGAUGUGGAUGUUGAAGAUGUUUCUCCUAGCCCUGGGCUGUACUGUGGUGAUCCAUUUGGAGUUAAUAUGCGUGAAGUAAU